rnacentral:tRNA from 1 species
UAUCCGCCUUGAAUAAGUGGAGGGAAUCUUUCUUCUCCUACCGGCGUUGGUGGUAUAGUGGUGAGCAUAGCUGCCUUCCAAGCAGUUGACCCGGGUUCGAUUCCCGGCCAACGCAGUAUAUUUUAAAAUUCUAAACUGUGUUUUUCCCUCUUGUUCCUCGAACCCCAGUUUGGUGGGUUGAAGCCUGUCACGCGGAAACCUCUGCUCCUAGGAGACCGGUUUUGCUCUUCCCCCCGGGUCCCAGAUCCCGUCGUCCUGCUCCGGAUGGUCGUAUCCCGCGCUGAUUUCCGACCAGUACGUCAGAGUUUUCGCGGAUAGCGGUGCGAAUCCACAGGCAGGAGGCGGAAGGAGUCCCCCAAACCUAGCUUCGAUACGGGGACGGAAGUUGGGGACGUGGCGAGGCAGGGGAAAAAAGCUGCAGGCUGAGACUGGAAACGCUCACGCUGUCAGAAGAGGCGCAAACGCAAGGAGCUGGAGGUUGACGAGCAUCAAUCACAGCUGAACCACUCUGGGGGCUAAGGCAAGGCGCCAAGCAGGGCUGCGGAGAUCAGAAAAUGAGUCUUUCUGAAGACUGCUUUCUCUAGAAGCCCAAGCAAGACUGCUCACGGAGCUUGUUUUCGACACCGGAGCGUCCAUUCAGAAUAAAAGAUAGCUAAUGACACUGAUCUUUUUCUCUUCCAGCUUCCCACGCC